rnacentral:rRNA from 1 species
GUGCCAGCAGCCGCGGUAAUACGUAGGGGGCGAGCGUUGUCCGGAGUUACUGGGCGUAAAGGGCGUGCAGGCGGUGCAGUAAGUUUGCAGUGACAGUUCCCGGCUCAACUGGGGAAGGCCUGACAAAAACUGCUGGACUUGAGGGCCAGAGAGGGACAUAGAAUUCCGGGUGGAGUGGUGAAAUGCGUAGAUAUCCGGAGGAAUACCAAAGGCGAAGGCAGUGUCCUGGCUGGCAACUGACGCUGAGGCGCGAAAGCUAGGGGAGCGAACAGGAUUAGAUACCCUGGUAGUCC